rnacentral:rRNA from 1 species
UUGGUACUUGUACCGACUGGAUGAGCAGCGAACGGGUGAGUAACGCGUGGGGAAUCUGCCUUUGAGCGGGGGACAACAUUUGGAAACGAAUGCUAAUACCGCAUAAAAACUUUAAACACAAGUUUUAAGUUUGAAAGAUGCAAUUGCAUCACUCAAAGAUGAUCCCGCGUUGUAUUAGCUAGUUGGUGAGGUAAAGGCUCACCAAGGCGAUGAUACAUAGCCGACCUGAGAGGGUGAUC